CACAAAAGGAGGGAGGGAGGGAGGGAGCGAGAGGCACAACUUCCUCCACCUUCGGGAGCCGUGGGCAGAGUGGGGGGCUUGGAGGGAAGAUUGGGGAACCGGGUUAGAGGGGGCGCCCAUUGCCUAUCCCCUCGGUCUGCUCCGUUUGCCCACCCUCUCCGGUGUGUCUGUCGCUUGCAGUGUUGGAGGUCGGCGCCGGCCCCCGCCUUCCGCGCCCCCCACGGGAAGGAAGCACCCCCGGUAUUAAAACGAGCGGGGCGGAAAGAAGCCUUCAGUCGCCGGCCGGGAGGCGAGCCCAUGCCGAGCUGCUCCGCGUCCACCAUG
rfam:Chlorocebus sabaeus isolate 1994-021 chromosome 14, whole genome shotgun sequence.